UACGUAGGGGGCAAGCGUUGUCCGGAAUUAUUGGGCGUAAAGCGCGCGCAGGCGGUUUCUUAAGUCUGAUGUGAAAGCCCCCGGCUCAACCGGGGAGGGUCAUUGGAAACUGGGGAACUUGAGUGCAGAAGAGGAAAGUGGAAUUCCAAGUGUAGCGGUGAAAUGCGUAGAGAUUUGGAGGAACACCAGUGGCGAAGGCGACGUUCUGGGCUGUAACUGACGCUGAGGCGCGAAAGCGUGGGGAGCAAACAGG
rnacentral:rRNA from 1 species